GACGAACGCUGGCGGCGCGCUUAACACAUGCGAGUCGAGCGAGAACCAGGACUUCGGUCCUGGGGACAGCGGCGAACGGGUGAGUAACACGUGGAUAACCUGCCCUCGGCACCGGGAUAGCCCGGGGAAACCCGGAUUAAUACCGGAUGGCCCUUCCGGCUCACGAGCCGGUCGGAAAAGGUAGCUUCGGCCUCCGGCCGAGGAUGGGUCCGCGGCGGAUUAGCUUGUUGGUGGGGUAACGGCAUACCAAGGCUCCGAUCCGUAGCUGGUCUGAGAUGACGAAAAGCCAAACUGGGACUGAGACACGGCCCAGACGCCGACGGGAGGCAGCAGUGGGGAAUCUUGCGCAAUGGGCGAAAGCCUGACGCAGCGACGCCGCGUGAGGGAGGAAGGCCUUCGGGUUGUAAACCUCUUUCAGGAGGGACGAAGCUACUCGGGUGAAUAGCCCAGAGGGUGACGGUACCUCCAGAAGAAGCCCCGGCUAACUACGUGCCAGCCGCCGCCGUAACAC
rnacentral:rRNA from 1 species